GAUUAUGAACCUUUCUGCAGCAAGAUCUGAAACAGCCAGAUUCCAAUUUAAAUCAAAGUCCCUAGGAUUCACUUGUGAUUUCCAGUAAGGCUUCUUUAAGCUGGCAACCUGCCCUGCAAUUUCCAGGGACAGCAAACCUGUGAGACAGAUGCACUCACUGUGUGACUGAGGAUGCUCUCCAGCCCUGCUGAGCCAGCCCUGGGAGCGGGGCUGUGUGUGGGGUCUGCUGUUUUCUAGUUGGAGUGAUUUUUAUAGCCUGUAUUAUAAGGAAACCCACACGUGAGGAAAGGAAGAAGGAAUUAAAUGGAAAACAAACCACAGGCCCAGCCAUUAAUCCUUCUGGGGAAAGCAGGGCCUGGGCUGCAUUCUUCAGCAUCCAACCCACUGUGGGACACACGAGGUGAAAGUCGUCAACAGUCUGAGCUGAGUCUCUGGUCAGCCAUCGUUCUGGGGGAUCUGCUGCUGCUCUCCCACUGGAGCCUGUUCCUUUGUGCUCUUUCCAUGAGGAGCAGCCAAAAUCAUGAAUUAAACAUUGCUGAUAUUAAAGAGGACUCCUGGCAUCUGCCCCAAAUGGAGAAAUCAACGUGUCAUUCAUUACAGCUGCUCGUGUGUCCUUACGCACCACUCUGCACGUGUGUCUGAGCACAGCCCUGUCAGUGCUGUGCCGUGGCUGUCGCAGCCCUGGGAUGCUCACGCAGCCUCAGAACAGAACCCUCUGCAGGCAAACUUGAAAGAAGCUGGGCAGUGUCUGGAGCAGCAGCAAGGAAUCUGGGAUUGGGAACUCACCACACUGUUAUUGACUGGUCUCCAUUCCCAAGAGGACAAACUGGGGCCUUGUUUGCCAG
rnacentral:lncRNA from 1 species